rnacentral:rRNA from 1 species
UAGUCCACGCCGUAAACGAUGGACACUAGUUGUUGGACUUUUAGUUCAGUGACUAAGCGAAAGUAAUAAGUGUCCCACCUGGGGAGUACGGUCGCAAGAUUGAAACUCAAAGGAAUUGACGGGGGCCCGCACAAGCGGUGGAGCAUGUGGUUUAAUUCGAUGAUACGCGAGGAACCUUACCAGGGCUUAAAUGUAGAGUGACAGACUGAGAGAUCGGUUUUUCUUCGGACACUUUACAAGGUGCUGCAUGGUUGUCGUCAGCUCGUGCCGUGAGGUGUCAGGUUAAGUCCUAUAACGAGCGCAACCCUUAUCGUUAGUUGCCAGCAAGUAAAGUUGGGGACUCUAGCGAGACUGCCGGUGCAAACCGUGAGGAAGGUGGGGAUGACGUCAAAUCAUCACGGCCCUUACGUCCUGGGCUACACACGUGCUACAAUGGUAUGGACAAUGAGCAGCCACUAUGCGAAUAGGAGCGAAUCUAUAAACCAUAUCACAGUUCGGAUCGGAGU